CUCUUAGUUGCAGUAUCAUAGCCAGUGAGGUUUAUCCUAGGCACAAUUAUUGCUAACUAAAAUUUUUCCCAAUACCUGCUGUAAUAACUUGUGAUACACUCAGCAUUGGCAAUUUUUGACAGUCUCUACAGAGA